rnacentral:rRNA from 1 species
AACGAACGCUGGCGGCAUGCCUAACACAUGCAAGUCGAACGAGACCUUCGGGUCUAGUGGCGCACGGGUGCGUAACGCGUGGGAACCUGCCCUUAGGUUCGGAAUAACUCCCCGAAAGGGGUGCUAAUACCGGAUAAUGUCUUCGGACCAAAGAUUUAUCGCCUUUGGAUGGGCCCGCGUUGGAUUAGCUAGUUGGUAGGGUAAAAGCCUACCAAGGCGACGAUCCAUAGCUGGUCUGAGAGGAUGAUCAGCCACACUGGGACUGAGACACGGUCCAGACUCCUACGGGAGGCAGCGGUGGGGAAUAUUGGACAAUGGGCGAAAGCCUGAUCCAGCAAUGCCGCGUGAGUGAUGAAGGCCUUAGGGUUGUAAAGCUCUUUUACCCGGGAUGAUAAUGACAGUACCGGGAGAAUAAGCUCCGGCUAACUCCGUG